GCCGCUUUAGCUCAGUUGGUAGAGCACAUCAUUCGUAAUGAUGGGGCCACGUGUUCGAAUCACGUAAGCGGCA
rnacentral:tRNA from 1 species